CACCAUGUUCCUCACAGUCUCGAUUAGGCUGAUCAGAAUCAUCUGCUUUUAGCAACAAACUGUUUUGAUUUGA